rnacentral:rRNA from 1 species
GUAGGUGGCAAGCGUUGUCCGGAAUUAUUGGGCGUAAAGCGCGCGCAGGCGGUUCUUUAAGUCUGAUGUGAAGGCCCACGGCUCAACCGUGGAGGGUCAUUGGAAACUGGAGAACUUGAGUACAGAAGAGGAAAGCGGAAUUCCACGUGUAGCGGUGAAAUGCGUAGAGAUGUGGAGGAACACCAGUGGCGAAGGCGGCUUUCUGGUCUGUAACUGACGCUGAGGCGCGAAAGCGUGGGGGAGCAAACAGGAUUAGAUACCCUGGUAGUCCACGCCGUAAACGAUGAGUGCUAAGUGUUAGGGGGUUUCCGCCCCUUAGUGCUGCAGCUAACGCAUUAAGCACUCCGCCUGGGAGUACGGCCGCAAGGCUG